UACGGAGGGAGCUAGCGUUGUUCGGAAUUACUGGGCGUAAAGCGCACGUAGGCGGCGAUUCAAGUCAGAGGUGAAAGCCCGGGGCUCAACCCCGGAACUGCCUUUGAAACUAGAUUGCUAGAAUCCUGGAGAGGUGAGUGGAAUUCCGAGUGUAGAGGUGAAAUUCGUAGAUAUUCGGAAGAACACCAGUGGCGAAGGCGACUCACUGGCCCGAUACUGACGCUGAGGCGCGAAAGCGUGGGGAGCAAACAGG
rnacentral:rRNA from 1 species